UACGGGGGGAGCAAGCGUUGUUCGGAUUUACUGGGCGUAAAGGGCGCGUAGGCGGUCAGCACAAGUCAGUUGUGAAAUCUCCGGGCUUAACUCGGAAAGGUCAACUGAUACUGUGCGACUAGAGUGCAGAAGGGGCAACUGGAAUUCUCGGUGUAGCGGUGAAAUGCGUAGAUAUCGGGAGGAACACCGGUGGCGAAGGUGGCGACCUGGGUAGAUACUGACGCUGAGGUGCGAAAGCGUGGGGAGCAAACAGG
rnacentral:rRNA from 1 species